rnacentral:lncRNA from 1 species
CGACUGACUUUUUCCUUUUCUGUUUUAGAAUCGGUUCCAAACAGUCAAGCCUGCCAGAAAAAACAGACAAACUCUCAAGAACAACAAUGCCUAUUAUGUGUGGUGGAGGAGCCGCCAGAUUUUGAUUACCGGACAGACAUUAACUCCUUUGGUGUCUCAUGCAAGAAAUGCCAAGUCUGAAUCCAGAUAUUUUCCAGAAUAGCAUGAGAUCUGCAAUUUACAGUGUCUUCUGCAAAAAAAAAAAAAAAAAGCAACUGAGAGAAGGAAGUGCAAGUUAAAGACCACAUCUCCUGGUUUCUCGAAUUCUGCCAUGACUCUUCCUGGUAAAUGGACAGACUGAGUACCUGUGCUCUUCCUUUUGCAGGCCUUAGGUUGUGGGCCAGAAGCACGUUACUCUACCCACCUGUCCCACCUGUGUUGUCUUGAUGUCUAAAGGACUGUCACAUUCUGCCCUCAUUGAGAAAAUGCAUGGGUUCCUGGAGGCUACCUCUUACAGUAAAACUUUGAGAAAGAAGAAUCCUUGCAAACUCUGUGAUCAGCAUCUCCCCCCCCCCACCCCAAUAGACUCCCUGAAGGCUGUCAGACUCCAUCCUGCUUUGAGAUCUCAGAUAAAGCAGAGAGCAAUGCGAUUUUCAGAGGGAGGAUGAUAAUAUAAGUAUUUAGACCAUCGUGUGUAUGUAUAUCCUAUGUGUGUAUAAAUACUAUAUAUUUAUUUUAGUAUUUCAUUUGUUCUUUCAUUUACUCUUUAAUACAUAUUUACAAAGAGUCCUCUGUGCAGUGGCUGUGGAUAACCAAGUAAGGUAUAAUCACAAUGUCUACCUUUUAGCCAGAUCUUAUUGCAUAUCAGCAUUGUGUUAAACAUUUUACAUUCAAAUGCAUGAAUGCACUUAAUCCUUAAAAAAAAAAAAACCUGAAGAAACAGCUCUAUUUUACAUCUUAGUAAAUUGACUCCCAGAAAAUUUAAGGACACACAUGUAGUCAAUAUCAGAGUAGGAUUCACAUACAGGUAUGUUUGAUGCAAAAUGCAUUUCCCUAUUUACUUUGAUGUUGUCUUCCCAAAGAUGAAUCAAAAGAUAAAACCACAUUAACUUUCUUUCUUGGAAUUCCCCUUCUGUUUGGUGAGGAAAGAAACACAUGUGAUCUAAUUCUGUUGAAAGGGAGGAGAAGGUAGGAGAGGGUAGAGGAAGCCUCUGUGGCUAGAAAUUCACUCAGCAGAGAGAAACUAGAGAGAUUUUGGCUGAGUGUGUCUUUGUUGGGUAUCAAGAGAACUGAACUCACCCAGAGGCAGAGAUAUUUCUGGCUCAAAGAGUAAUUCUGUCACACAGAAUGGAGGGACUGGUCAGUGGGAAAUCCUUUAAGGCUGUUUCUCCACUUAAUUGCCCUUAUCUUUUCCUUCUUUUCAUUCUUAGGUUAUUUCCAGUCCUUACUAAAAGAGGAACCAGGGAGACUGUGAACUCAGCCAGGUGGAAGUGAUAAUGAUUUUAGAGAAACCACAGGAGAAGGAAGAGCUCCUCCAACCGUCUUCUCACUACCACAAUGGGACCCAUACGGAUUAACUCUUUCAAGGAUGGAGGUGUCUCCUCUCCCUAGAAAUAAAAAUGCAAGUUUUACGUAGGUUUUAGUGUUGUGUGGAGGGAAAACAAGGACUGAUCUAUUUGGUUCUCUUCACUUGAUUCACCCUGAAGGGCUUGCUGCCCUAGAGAUAAGUGGACAGAUGAAGAAAAGUAGUGUCCCCAGAUACCCCGAUGAAGCCAAUGCUCUCUGAAAGGAAGCAGCCACACAUUUAGCCCAGGGAGACCUUUUUGCAUCCAGGAGAGUGAUUUGGGUCAAAGAAAAGGAGAACAGUGACAUUACUGCCAGACUGCUUCUCUAACUAAACCUUUAGCUCUUCUGUUCAGGACAAAUGGGAAUCAGCCAGCAUAGAUGUGACCUGUCCUGUCUGCUGGUAACCACAGUAUCAUAAUUCAUUGGAGUUUCACUUUAAGUAUUUUAAGAAUUACCUGUGAGAUUUUGAGGGUCAAUAUUUUAGACUAUCAUCACUAUUGGACUAUUCAUUUGAAUACUUCUGGGGUUUAUGCCUCUUUUCAAAAGAAACAGUGGGCUUCCCUAUAUUCAUUACAAAGUCUUCCUAGUCUUCAAAUCUUCCUGUGAAGUGUCUCUUCUCUAGUCUUUUAAGUAUACCGUGUGACUGUAUGUCCUCCUCUGAGAAGUGUCUGUUCAGGUCCUUGGCCCAUUUAUUGAUUGGGUUGUUUGUUCUCUUAUUGUCUAAUUUUUUGAGUUCUUUGUAUACUCUGGAUAUUAGGGCUCUAUCUGAAGUGUGAGGAGUAAAGAUUUGUUCCCAGGGUGUAGGCUCCCUAUUUACCUCUCUUAUUGUUUCUUUUGCUGAGAAAAAACUUUUUAGUUUGAGUAAGUCCCAUUUGUUGAUUCUAGUUAUUAACUUUUGUGCUAUGGGUGUCCUAUUGAGGAAUUUGGAGCCCGACCCCACCGAAUGUAGAUCGUAGCCAACUUUUUCUUCUAUCAGACGGCGUGUCUCUGAUUUGAUAUCAAGCUCCUUGAUCCAUUUUGAAUUCACUUUUGUGCAUGGCGAGAGAAAGGGAUUCAGUUUCAUUUUGUUGCAUAUGGAUUUCCAGUUUUCCCAGCACCAUUUGUUGAAGAUGCUAUCCUUCCUCCAUUGCAUGCUUUUAGCCCCUUUAUCAAAUAUAAGAUAGUUGUAGUUUUGUGGAUUGGUUUCUGUGUCCUCUAUUCUGUACCAUUGGUCCACCCGCCUGUUUUGGUACCAGUACCAUGCUGUUUUUGUUACUAUUGCUCUGUAGUAUAGUUUGAAGUCUGGUAUCGCUAUACCGCCUGAUUCACACUUCCUGCUUAGCAUUGUUUUUGCUAUUCUGGGUCUUUUAUUUUUCCAUAUGAAUUUCAUGAUUGCUUUCUCUAUUUCUACAAGAAAUGCCGUUGGGAUUUUGAUUGGCAUUGCAUUAAACCUAUAGAGAACUUUUGGUAAUAUCGCCAUUUUGAUGAUGUUAGUUCUGCCUAUCCAUGAACAGGGUAUAUUUUUCCAUCUUCUAAGAUCUUCUUCUAUUUCUCUCUUUAGGGUUCUGUAGUUUUCAUUGUAUAAGUCUUUCACCUCUUUUGUUAGGUUGAUUCCCAAGUAUUUUAUUUUUUUUGAAGAUAUUGUGAAUGGAGUGGUUGUCCUCAUUUCCAUUUCAGAGGAUUUGUCGCUGAUAUACAGGAAUGCCUUUGAUUUAUGCGUGUUGAUUUUAUAUCCUGCCACUUUGCUGAAUUCAUUUAUUAGCUCUAAUAGUUUCUUUGUAGAGCCUUUUGGGUCUGCUAGGUAUAGAAUCAUAUCAUCUGCAAAUAGUGAUAAUUUAAGUUCUUCUUUUCCUAUUUUUAUGCCUUUAAUUUCUUUCGUCUGUCUAAUUGCUCUGGCCAGUGUUUCGAGAACUAUGUUGAACAGAAGUGGAGAGAGAGGGCAUCCCUGUCUUGUUCCAGAUUUUAGAGGGAAUGCCUUCAGUUUUUCUCCAUUCAGAAUGAUGCUAGCCUGAGGCUUAGCAUAGAUUGCUUUUACAAUAUUGAGGUAUGUUCCUGUUAUCCCUAGUUUUUCUAGAGUUUUGAACAUAAAGGGAUGCUGUACUUUGUCGAAUGCUUUUUCCGCAUCUAUCGAGAUGAUCAUAUGGUUCUUAUUUUUAAGUCUAUUGAUGUGGUGAAUAACAUUUAUUGAUUUCCGUAUAUUGAACCAGCCUUGCAUCCCAGGGAUGAAUCCUACUUGAUCAUGGUGUACAAUUUUUUUGAUAUGUUUUUGUAUCCGAUUCGCCAGAAUUUUAUUGAGGAUUUUUGCAUCUAGGUUCAUUAGAGAUAUUGGUCUGUAGUUUUCUUUCUUUGAAGUGUCUUUGUCUGGUUUAGGUAUCAGGGUGAUGUUGGCCUCAUAGAAUGAAUUUGGAAGUUCUCCCUCUUUUUCUAUUUCCUGAAGUAGCUUGAAAAGUAUUGGUAUUAGUUCUUCUUUAAAGGUUUUGUAAAAUUCUGCUGUAUACCCAUCUGGUCCUGGGCUUUUCUUAGUUGGUAGUCUUUUUAUGGUUUCUUCUAUUUCCUCAAUUGAUAUUGGUCUGUUUAGGUUUUCUAUAUCCUCCUGACUCAAUCUGGGCAGAUCAUAUGACUUNGGGGA